rnacentral:pre_miRNA from 1 species
CUGUGUGUGGUGAUUAGGCAGUGUAUUGUUAGUUAGCUGUUCCUCACACACCAGCAACUGACUACACUGUCAGAUUAGCACAUCACUG